rnacentral:rRNA from 1 species
GUGGCGGACGGGUGAGUAAGGCGUCGAGAAUCUAGCUUCAGGUCUGGGACAACCACUGGAAACGGUGGCUAAUACCGGAUGUGCCGGAAGGUGAAAGGCUUGCUGCCUGAAGAUGAGCUCGCGUCCGAUUAGCUAGGAGGUGGGGUAAGAGACCACCUAGCCGACGAGCGGUAGCUGGUCUGAGAGGAUGACCCGCCACACUGGAACAGAGACACGGCCCAGACUCCUACGGGAGGCAGCAGUGGGGAAUUUUCCGGAAUGGGCGAAAGCCUGACGGAGCAAUACCGAGUGAGGGAGGAAGGCUGUUGGGUUGUAAACCUCUUUUGACAGGGAAGAACACAAUGACGGUACCUGAGGAAUCAGCUUCGGCUAACUCCGUGCCAGGAGCCGCGGUAAUACGGAGGAUGCAAGCGUUUUCCGGAAUGAUUGGGCGUAAAGCGUCCGCAGGUUGUUGUGUAAGUCUGCUGUCAAAGAGCAAAGCUUAACUUUGUAAAGGCACUGGAAACUACAAGGCUAGAGUGCGUUCGGGGCAGAGGGAAUUCCUGGUGUACCGGUAAAAUGCCUAGAGAUCAGGAAGAACACCGGUGGCGAAGGCUCUCUGUUAGGCCGCAACUGACACUGAGGGACGAAAGCUAGGGGAGCGG